rnacentral:rRNA from 1 species
UGGGGAAUAUUGCACAAUGGGGGAAACCCUGAUGCAGCGACGCCGCGUGAACGAAGAAGGUAUUCGUAUCGUAAAGUUCUGUCCUAUGGGAAGAUAAUGACAGUACCAUAGAAGAAAGCUCCGGCUAAAUACGUGCCAGCAGCCGCGCUAAUACGUAUGGAGCGAGCGUUGUCCGGAAUUAUUGGGCGUAAAGGGUACGCAGGCGGUUUAAUAAGUCGAAUGUUAAAGAUCGGGGCUCAACCCCGUAAAGCAUUGGAAACUGAUAAACUUGAGUAGUGGAGAGGAAAGUGGAAUUCCUAGUGUAGUGGUGAAAUACGUAGAUAUUAGGAGGAAUACCAGUAGCGAAGGCGACUUUCUGGACACAAACUGACGCUGAGGUACGAAAGCGUGGGGAGCAAACAGG